AGUGAAGACAGGCAGUCUAGGUAAGCAUAUCCUAUGCACCCUGAUAGAAAGAAUGACAGAGGAUGCAGCCACGUUCCUCAUCAUUUUUUUUUUUUACACUGCAUAAGUAAUGUGAAGUGUUUCUUUGCAAAGGAAAAUUGAGGCAAUUAUUGAUUAUUAAAACUAUGAACUGAAAUCAGCUUUGAGAAAUACAGGGCCAAAAUCCUAGAAUGAUUUCUUUAGUUGAAAAUAUAAUGUAUAACAAUGUACUUUGACUUGCCUUGGCACAAAUUUCCCUAGGUAGAUUAUCUACACAUCAUGCUUUACCACACAGAAAGGUCUCAAGUUUUUUCUCCAGGUUUUUAUGAGAUUUUCAUGAUACAAAUACGGUAUUUUGUAUCUUCUGUUACGUGUUACCUAAGAAAUGAGACUUACAGAUCUAAAAUACAUGGACUGAACAGUUCAGACUAAACAAUUCCUAUCUUCUGUGUUUCACAUAUGGAUAAGAAAAUGCAGCACCCAGUUACUUGGAAGUUGUAGGUGCUAUAGCUAGUUAUGGUUAUUAUUAUUAAACCAUAUUUUAAAUGCAUACAAAAUAUCUCUAAAACUACUAUGGUAAUGGAAAUCUGCAUGCAGCACUUUGGGUAUGCUUCAAAAGACAUGUUCAACUAAUUUUGCCCUUAUUUCUCUACAUUCUUGAUCCACCUUCUUAAAUAAAAUUGCUCAAACUUAGCUUUAUGAAUUUCUUUCACUCUUUUAAGUGUUUUAUGAAUGAUCUGACUGAAGCUUUAAAGAGGAGGUAAUGCAAGUAUACAAGAAAUACCCAGAAAGGAUAUUCUUGUUUUCCGAAGUACUUUCCUGUAAUCUUUCCAGCUCCUUCUGAAAGGUGUGUCCUAAAACUGAGGAAGAGGCUAAAGCUGUUUCCCUUAAAACUGAGAAGGCUCUUCACCACAGGAUGGUUGGACACAGGAACAGGCUGCACAGGGCAGUGACCAUGGCCCUAAGCUUCCAGAAUUCAAGAAGCAUUUGGACAUGGUUUAAGAAAUAGGAUUUGAUUUUUGGGUGGUCCUGUGUGGAGCCAGGGGUUAUUUAAGAUACAGAUGUCCCUUACAGAUGGAGCUGUAAGGGACAUGGAUUAGUGAUAGGACUCAGUAGAUCAGGUUGAUGGUUGUACUCUGUGAUUUUGGAGGUCUUUUUGGAACCUAGAUGUUUCCGUGAUUCAAUAGAAGGAAAACAAAUACCAUUCAAAGCCAGAUAUCUGCCUUAUGUUGUUUAAGAUACUUUCAUGAGUAUCUCCUGAGCUCACUCACCAGUGUGGGAGCAGCUUCUCUUCUCCAGAGGGAAGUAGGAAAAUGGAGUCUGCAGCUCAGGUCUAGAAAAUGUUCAUAUCAAACCUCAGUGUUACACGUAAACUUUAUGUUCCAUUGUAAAACAUACGGGGGUCUGUCAACAACAGCAAAAACAGGAACACUGCAAAAUUGAAAUUCACUUUCAAAUUCAAGGCAGUCGUUGCUGUUUUCUUCACAACUCAUUUACCCCUGCUCAAGAUUCCAUCUGGCAUUCAGAUUGUCGUUAGGAAAAGUUUAGAGGAUGAGCUAUUGAGAAAUAGUCAAUCUUGGCAAGUAAGGCCUUUCAUUUCACCUCUACAAGAGCAUUAUUGCUUUUUCUUAAGCAAUCACAUGCCAGCAAUUCAAAUGUAAUCCUUUCCCUGAACCCCAACAAUAAAGUAUAUAUCCUACUCAUUGCAGAGCUGCUCUUUGCCUGACCACUAUACAACCACCUGCCAAACACAAUAAACGCUUGCAGUGCAGGUAUAUCAUUACAUUUGUCUGCCAUGAUGGCUUGAUUAAAUUGACCUCUUGUUAUUCAAAAGGCUGAACAGGCAUCUGGAAUAGCACGGUGGUAUGGCAUACUUGUGAUUUUUAUAUUGAAAAUAUUUCAACCUUCUGAAAAUUGUUACACAGACAACAGAAGAUGUCUGAAGUUGGUGUGUUCGUUUUUAAUGAUUAUCUUUAAAUACUUUGCACUGAAAUAAAAUGUUGUUCAUCAG
ensembl:lncRNA